UACAGAGGGGGGCAAGCGUUGUUCGGAAUUACUGGGCGUAAAGGGCGCGUAGGCGGCGUGUCAAGUCAGGCGUGAAAGCCCCGGGCUCAACCUGGGAACCGCGCUUGAGACUGGCAUGCUCGAGUUCGGGAGAGGAUGGUGGAAUUCCCAGUGUAGAGGUGAAAUUCGUAGAUAUUGGGAAGAACACCGAUGGCGAAGGCAGCCAUCUGGACCGACACUGACGCUGAGGCGCGAAAGCGUGGGGAGCAAACAGG
rnacentral:rRNA from 1 species